UACGUAGGGUGCGAGCGUUAAUCGGAAUUACUGGGCGUAAAGCGUGCGCAGGCGGUUCGUUGUGUCGGCGGUGAAAUCCCCGGGCUCAACCUGGGAAUGGCCGUUGAAACUGGCGAACUGGAGUGUGGCAGAGGGGGGUGGAAUUCCGCGUGUAGCAGUGAAAUGCGUAGAGAUGCGGAGGAGCACCGAUGGCGAAGGCAGCCCCCUGGGCUGACACUGACGCUCAGGCACGAAAGCGUGGGGAGCAAACAGG
rnacentral:rRNA from 1 species